rnacentral:rRNA from 2 species
GCGAUAAGCGCCGGUAAGGUGAUAUGAACCGUUAUAACCGGCGAUACCCGAAUGGGGAAACCCAGUGUGACUCGUCACACUAUCAUUAACUGAAUCCAUAGGUUAAUGAGGCGAACCGGGGGAACUGAAACAUCUAAGUACCCCGAGGAAAAGAAAUCAACCGAGAUUCCCCCAGUAGCGGCGAGCGAACGGGGAGGAGCCCAGAGCCUGAAUCAGCAUGUGUGUUAGUGGAAGCGUCUGGAAAGGCGCGCGAUACAGGGUGACAGCCCCGUACACAAAAGCGCAUGUGCUGUGAGCUCGAUGAGUAGGGCGGGACACGUGGUAUCCUGUCUGAAUAUGGGGGGACCAUCCUCCAAGGCUAAAUACUCCUGACUGACCGAUAGUGAACCAGUACCGUGAGGGAAAGGCGAAAAGAACCCCGGCGAGGGGAGUGAAAAAGAACCUGAAACCGUGUACGUACAAGCAGUGGGAGCACCCUUUGGGUGUGACUGCGUACCUUUUGUAUAAUGGGUCAGCGACUUAUAUUCUGUAGCAAGGUUAACCGAAUAGGGGAGCCGGAGGGAAACCGAGUCUUAAUUGGGCGUUAAGUUGCAGGGUAUAGACCCGAAACCCGGUGAUCUAGCCAUGGGCAGGUUGAAGGUUGGGUAACACUAACUGGAGGACCGAACCGACUAAUGUUGAAAAAUUAGCGGAUGACCUGUGGCUGGGGGUGAAAGGCCAAUCAAACCGGGAGAUAGCUGGUUCUCCCCGAAAGCUAUUUAGGUAGCGCCUCGUGAAUUCAUCUCCGGGGGUAGAGCACUGUUUCGGCUAGGGGGCCAUCCCGGCUUACCAACCCGAUGCAAACUGCGAAUACCGGAGAAUGUUAUCACGGGAGACACACGGCGGGUGCUAACGUCCGUCGUGAAGAGGGAAACAACCCAGACCGCCAGCUAAGGUCCCAAAGUCAUGGUUAAGUGGGAAACGAUGUGGGAAGGCCCAGACAGCCAGGAUGUUGGCUUAGAAGCAGCCAUCAUUUAAAGAAAGCGUAAUAGCUCACUGGUCGAGUCGGCCUGCGCGGAAGAUGUAACGGGGCUAAACCAUGCACCGAAGCUGCGGCAGCGACACUGUGUGUUGUUGGGUAGGGGAGCGUUCUGUAAGCCUGUGAAGGUGUGUCGUGAGGCAUGCUGGAGGUAUCAGAAGUGCGAAUGCUGACAUAAGUAACGAUAAAGCGGGUGAAAAGCCCGCUCGCCGGAAGACCAAGGGUUCCUGUCCAACGUUAAUCGGGGCAGGGUGAGUCGACCCCUAAGGCGAGGCCGAAAGGCGUAGUCGAUGGGAAACGGGUUAAUAUUCCCGUACUUGGUGUUACUGCGAAGGGGGGACGGAGAAGGCUAUGUUGGCCGGGCGACGGUUGUCCCGGUUUAAGCGUGUAGGUGUGUGUUCCAGGUAAAUCCGGUUCACUUUAACACUGAGGCGUGACGACGAGGCACUACGGUGCUGAAGCAACAAAUGCCCUGCUUCCAGGAAAAGCCUCUAAGCAUCAGGUAACAUCAAAUCGUACCCCAAACCGACACAGGUGGUCAGGUAGAGAAUACCAAGGCGCUUGAGAGAACUCGGGUGAAGGAACUAGGCAAAAUGGUGCCGUAACUUCGGGAGAAGGCACGCUGACACGUAGGUGAAGUGAUUUACUCAUGGAGCUGAAGUCAGUCGAAGAUACCAGCUGGCUGCAACUGUUUAUUAAAAACACAGCACUGUGCAAACACGAAAGUGGACGUAUACGGUGUGACGCCUGCCCGGUGCCGGAAGGUUAAUUGAUGGGGUCAGCGCAAGCGAAGCUCCUGAUCGAAGCCCCGGUAAACGGCGGCCGUAACUAUAACGGUCCUAAGGUAGCGAAAUUCCUUGUCGGGUAAGUUCCGACCUGCACGAAUGGCGUAAUGAUGGCCAGGCUGUCUCCACCCGAGACUCAGUGAAAUUGAACUCGCUGUGAAGAUGCAGUGUACCCGCGGCAAGACGGAAAGACCCCGUGAACCUUUACUAUAGCUUGACACUGAACAUUGAGCCUUGAUGUGUAGGAUAGGUGGGAGGCUUUGAAGUGUGGACGCCAGUCUGCAUGGAGCCGACCUUGAAAUACCACCCUUUAAUGUUUGAUGUUCUAACGUGGACCCGUUACCCGGGUUGCGGACAGUGUCUGGUGGGUAGUUUGACUGGGGCGGUCUCCUCCUAAAGAGUAACGGAGGAGCACGAAGGUUGGCUAAUCCUGGUCGGACAUCAGGAGGUUAGUGCAAUGGCAUAAGCCAGCUUGACUGCGAGCGUGACGGCGCGAGCAGGUGCGAAAGCAGGUCAUAGUGAUCCGGUGGUUCUGAAUGGAAGGGCCAUCGCUCAACGGAUAAAAGGUACUCCGGGGAUAACAGGCUGAUACCGCCCAAGAGUUCAUAUCGACGGCGGUGUUUGGCACCUCGAUGUCGGCUCAUCACAUCCUGGGGCUGAAGUAGGUCCCAAGGGUAUGGCUGUUCGCCAUUUAAAGUGGUACGCGAGCUGGGUUUAGAACGUCGUGAGACAGUUCGGUCCCUAUCUGCCGUGGGCGCUGGAGAACUGAGGGGGGCUGCUCCUAGUACGAGAGGACCGGAGUGGACGCAUCACUGGUGUUCGGGUUGUCAUGCCAAUGGCACUGCCCGGUAGCUAAAUGCGGAAGAGAUAAGUGCUGAAAGCAUCUAAGCACGAAACUUGCCCCGA